AUGAAAGGUUGUUUUCCUUCCCUCUUCUAUGGAAUUACUUUUGUGCCUUUUUAAUAUCAAACAAACCUUUUGAAUUCGUGAAUUAAAUUCUUAAUGCAAACAAAAAAUGAUACUGAAAGCAAAACAUUAACCCACAAGUGUUGAGGUCGAAUAAAUAACAAAGCAAGGAAAUCAUUUUGAAAGGCAAGAACAAAUACAUUGUAAAUGAAUGCGGGAAAAAAUGGUUUUCAUUUAAACAUUUUCAAUGAUUGCAAAGAAACGCUUCCCUCUUUGUCUGCAACAUUUUCUUUCUUUGGUUACGUUACCCUGCCCGCCCUUCGUUUUAGCUGCCUUUUUUGGGGGUUUAAAAGGAAGCGUAGAAGAUGCGUCUCUAUUGGUCAACUGGUUUUGGAAUGAUAGGUCAUGCUUGAUUUUUUUUCACUAUUUUUUAAACUUAUUUAACUUUUCCAUUUUGGAUAAAAAGGUCUCAGUGGCUACUAGAUAGCUAGACAGGGUAAAUGUACGACAAGAAGAGCAUCGGAAAACAUCCUAGAUGCCCAAUUGAGAGCAUCCUGUCGGGCUGUAACGCAGGGAUCUCCAGAGGGUGGUGCGGUCUGCACAAUGCAUCACCGGGGGCAAACUACCUGCCCUUCAGGACACUGACAGCACCCGAGGUCACAGGGAGGCCAAAAAGAUCAUCAAGGACAACAUCCAGCCGAUCCACUGCCUGUUCACCCCACUACCAUCCAGAAGGCGUGGUCAGUACAGGUGCAUCAAAGCUGGGACCAAGAGACUGGAAAAACAGCUUCUGUCUCAAGGCCAUCAGCCUGUUAAAUAGCCAUCACAAACACCUAGAGGCUGCUGCCUACAUACAGACUUGAAAUCAUGGGCCACUCUAAAUGGAUCACUAAUCACUUUAUUAAUUCCACUUUAAAAAUGAUGUUUACAUAUCUUGCAUUACUCAUCCCAUAAGUAUAUACUGUAUUUUAUACCAUCUAUUGCAUCUUGCCUAUGCUGCUCAGUCAUUGCUCACCCAUAUAAACUCAAUAGAAACAUCUUCUCACUGUCAACUGCGUUUAUUUUCAGCAAACUUAAAAUAUAAAAAAUAUUUGUAUUUAUAAUAUUAAUAUUUAUAAGAUUCAACAACUGAACAAGUUCCACAGACAUGUGACUAACAAAUAUUGAAUGUGUCCCUGAACAAAGGGGGGAGGGGGGUCAAAAUCAAAACUAACAGUCAGUAUCUGGUGUGGCCACCAAGCUGCAUUAAGUACUGCAGUGCAUCUACCCCUCAUGGACUGCACCAGAUUUGCCAGGUCUUGCUGUGAGAUGUUACCCCACUCUUCCACCAAGGCACCUGCAAGUUCCUGGACAUUUCUGGGGGGAAUGGCCUUAUCCCUCACCCUCUGAUCCAACAGGUCCCAGACGUGCUCAAUGAGACCCGGGCUCUUCGCUGGCCAUGUCAAAACACUGACAUUCCUGUCUUGCAGGAAUUCACACACAGAACAAGCAGUAUGGCUGGUGGCAUUGUCAUUCUGGAGGGUCAUGUCAGGAUGAGCCUGCAGGAAGGGUACCACAUGAGGGAGGAGGAUGUAUUCCUUGUAACGCACAGCGUUGAUUGCCUGCAAUGACAACAAGCUCAGUCCGAUGAUGCUGUGACACACCGCCCCAGACCAUGACUGACCAAUCGUUCCAGCUCCAGAGUACAGGCCUCGGUGUAACGCUCAUUCCUUCAUCGAUAAACGCGAAUCCGACAUUCACCCCCGGUGAGACAAAACCGCGACUCAUCAGUGAAGAGCCCUUUUUCUCAGUCCUGUCUGGUCCAGCGACAGUGGGUUUGUGCUCAUAGGUGACAUUGUUGCCGGUGAUGUCUGGUGAGGACCUGCCUUACAACAGGCCAACAAGCCCUCAGUCCAGCCUCUCUCAGCCUAUUGCGGACAGUCUGCGCACUGAUGGAUGGAUUGUGCGUUCCUGGUGUAACUUUGGCAGUUGUUGCCAUCCUGUACCUGUCCCGCAGGUGUGUGAUGUUCGGAUGUACCGAUCCUGUGCAGGUGUUGUUACACGUGGUCUGCCGCUAUGAGGACAGACAGCUGUCCAUCCUAUCUCCCUGUAGCUCUGUCUUACAAGCUGACUAGACCUCUCGCAUCACGUGUGCGAGCGUUGCAAAAUAAAUUUAGAAAUCUAUAUUAUUCAAUUAUUUCACCCACACUGCUCGCGCGCUCCAAUGAGCGUCUGCGUUGCCAAGGGCUAAAAUAGAAGUCAGUUCUGUUUCUGACACAGAUCGCGCUGCAAGUCCUGCCUCUCCCAUCUCCUCGUUGGUUUAUAGAAGCAGGUACCCACGUGCCAUCUCCUCAUUGGUUAUACCCACGUGGGUGACUGAAAGACGAACGAGGUCGGUGGCGGUAAUGCACUUAAUUUAUGAAUGUUUCCAAUUGCAAUAUCAAGUCAAGAGAAGAAAAAGCCUGGAAGGAAGAGAGAUGACUAGAAACGAUUUGGUUGACCAUUUUAUGUGUGGAUUAAUUGUCGGAGUAGAGGACCUUGUGCAUUUCAGGUAAAAUAACAACUCAAUGUUUAUAUCCCAGGACAAAUUAGCUAACAACAACAGCAAGCUAGCUAAAUAGGACAAAUUAGCUACCAAGUGCAAGCUAGCUAGCUAAAUUUCCAUAAAGGUUUAAUGCUUUUCGACCUGUCCCCAAAUUAAUGUAAUUGGUUCAGAGUUUGUUUUGAUAUUUUAACUUGCGCAUCGCGAUUGCGUUUGGUGUGGGGAGGACAAAAUAAAUGUAUGCACGAUGACGAAGCAGGUUUGAGUUCCUUGUUAGGUAUCUCACAGUACGAACAUUGCAAUUUUCCCUGGCCAGAUCUACAGUCCUCAUGCCUCCAUGCAGCAUGCCUAAGGCACGUUCACGCAGAUGAGCAGGGACCCUGGGCAUCUUUCUUUUGGUGUUUUUCAGAGUCGGUAGAAAGGCCUCUUUAGUUUUCUAAGUCUUCAUAACUGUGACCUUAAUUGCCUACCGUCUGUAAGCUGUUAGUGUCUUAACGACCGUUCCACAGGGGCAUGUUCAUUAAUUGUUUAUGGUUGAACAAGCAUGGGAAACCGUGUUUAAACCCUUUACAAUGAAGAUCUGUAAAGUUAUUUGCAUUUUUACUAAUUAUCUUUGAAGGACAGGGUCCUGAAAAAGGGAUGUUUAUUUUUUUUGCUGAGUUUAUUUAUAUGUAUAUAUUCUUUUUCCUUAGAUUUGUGUGUAUUAGGUAGUUGUGGAAUUGGUAGAUAUUGCUGCACUGUCAGAACUAGAAGCACAAGCGUUUCGCCACACUCGCAAUGACAUGUGUAUGUGACUAAUAAAAUUUGAUUUGAUUUAGCACUGAGAUGCAGUGCCUUAGACCGCUGCGCCACUCGGGAGCCUGACAGAAGCGGUUGUGGCUGAUGACCUGUCUCCAUAGCUGAGAGAAGCCAAGGAGGAAUAUCACUUCAUUCCCAACAAUACUGCUAAUAUUUCUAACUGUACCGAUGAGAAAGAGUAGGGCAGACUUAUACAAUUACAAUACAGAAAUGUUCUUGCUCUUUAGUGAAGUUCUGCCAAUCAUAUGUUGGAAACCAUUUAUCAAGGAAAACGAGUUGAACACUUUGUGGAAAUUGUCAUCUGUUUCUUGAACACCAGUGUUUCAUCUAAGGACAAUAAUAACUAUUACCUGUAUCAAAAUUAACAAUAAGGGGUAUAUCCUUAAUAAAAUAAUUGAUGGGUAAUUGUGUAUGGACAUGACAA
ensembl:lncRNA